CAACGACUCUCGGCAACGGAUAUCUCGGCUCUCGCAUCGAUGAAGAACGUAGCGAAAUGCGAUACUUGGUGUGAAUUGCAGAAUCCCGUGAACCAUCGAGUCUUUGAACGCAAGUUGCGCCCGAAGCCGUCAGGCCGAGGGCACGUCUGCCUGGGCGUCAUGC
rnacentral:rRNA from 1 species